rnacentral:rRNA from 1 species
ACCCCUACUGCCAGUUACUAACAGGUAACGCUGAGGACUCUGGCGGAACUGCCGGUGACAAAACCGGAGGAAGGUGGGGAUGACGUCAAGUCAUCAUGGCCCCUAUGUCCAGGGCUACACACGUGCUACAAUGGGCGAUACAGAGUGACGCGAAGCCGCGAGGUGGAGCAAAUCGCAGAAAAUCGCUCUCAGUUCGGAUUGGAGUCUGAAACCCGACUCCAUGAAGGUGGAAUCGCUAGUAAUCGCGCAUCAGCAUGGCGCGGUGAAUACGUUCCCGGGCCUU